AACGAACGCUGGCGGCAUGCCUAACACAUGCAAGUCGAACGAGACCUUCGGGUCUAGUGGCGCACGGGUGCGUACCGCGUGGGAACCUGCCCUUAGGUUAGGAAUAACUCCCCGAAAGGGGUGCUAAUACCGGAUAAUGUCUUCGGACCAAAGAUUUAUCGCCUUUGGAUGGGCCCGCGUUGGAUUAGCUAGUUGGUAGGGUAAAAGCCUACCAAGGCGACGAUCCAUAGCUGGUCUGAGAGGAUGAUCAGCCAGACUGGGACUGAGACACGGCCCAGACUCCUACGGGAGGCAGCAGUGGGGAAUAUUGGACGAGGGGCGAAAGCCUGAUCCAGCAAUGCCGCGUGUGUGAUGAAGGCCUUAGGGUUGUAAAGCUCUUUUACCCGGGAUGAUAAUGACAGUACCGGGAGAAUAAGCACCGGCUAACUCCGUG
rnacentral:rRNA from 1 species